GCCGAUUAAGUGUUUUAUUUUGCACACUGACUUUUCACGUCAAAAGAGCACACUAGUGCACUUGGCU
rnacentral:tRNA from 1 species